rnacentral:lncRNA from 1 species
GAGUUCCGGCGAGACUUGCGGAGGGGAGGGAAAACGGGAAGACUGCGCGCAAGCGCGAUCUCGUCCUUUCCGAGGUCCUCUGCCGCGUGUUUGGAAGUUAUGGCCGCGCGGGUCUGUGGUGUUCUCCCUGAAAGGCCUAAGCUUUGGGUGAUGGUAAGUUGUGGAAAAGGGAAGAUGAGGUUUUUCCUACACAUACCGUCGACACGCUUGCUCUCUCCGGAGGUGACGUGUCGACGAUCAGCCCUUUCCUUUGCUAUUGUGGGCCUUAGGAGGUCUGAGAUGCUGUCUAAGGAAAUGCUCCCCAGACUGCGAGACGUUUGAUGCGGACGGGAUGAAGCCCUUUUUGGUCUUCGAUCUCCCUUCUCUUGGGGCGGGGAGCGGUCUUCUCUCUGUGACCCAAAGCCAGCCAUGUGCUCAGCUCUGUCUUCCCUGGGGUCUCCAUUGAGGGUGGUGGCCUUAAGUGAACACGAGUGACUCCUGCUAACUACAGAUUGUCAUGAACGGGAUUGAAAACUGAAAGCCGUUAGCUCUAACGCGGCAUAACUUCUCCUUCCCCGAAGGCAUUGCCUUUUGGCACUCGGGAGACAAGAUGCAGGUUCCGUCUCAGAAGUAAUGGCUGGAUCCCUGAAAGCCAACGGGCUCGGUGUGGUCCACCCGUCAGAAGGCAUAGGUAGAUGGUGGGCAUCUGCCUCAGACAUAGUUCUCAAGUUCAGCCAGAAGAAUGCGCGUUGAGCCCUCUGCAGCCCGUGUCGGUAAGGGUUCCAAACAAGUCCAGAAGAGGGUCUGUGCCGGUGUAAUUUGGGGCUAUAGAGUGUCGUUCUGCAACUCAACGUGGUUGCCAGAACCGGAUUUCCAAAAAUGAGUUGGGUUGGCACUGGGGGGUUUGGGGGGCCUCUUGCUGGUUGAGCUGAGGAUGAUUUAAGUUAUCCCUGUCUGAAAUGACACUUUUGUGAAGAGUCAUGGUUUACUGAGGCUCGACGUUUUGAGGUCUGUUUUGAGAAUGACCACAGUAAGGUUGCUUCUGUUAGAAUGAAGUGGGAUCUCUUUAUUACUCCUUCAGACGGAGGUGUUGUCUCCAGGAAGCAUCAUGGAAAGGCGUGGUGGUGCACAAGGGCCUUCAGGAUGCCUGCGCCUGGUGACGGCUGCGCCUCAGGUUCUGGGCCUGACUCGGAAGGGUGCCUGUGAGCAGAAGAGCUGGCACGCGCAGCUCAGUGGACCAUCAGUGCCAACCCGUCCUGUACCCUGGCUGAGGGGUGUGCUAAGUGGCAGAUUCCCGGUUGGCUCAUCGUAAGGCGUGGCACAAAAUCACCAUCGAAAGAAAGGGCCUUCGGGAUGCCUCUAUCUGGUUAUUGCCCUGUAGUGCCAGAGAGAACCACAUAGCCUGCUGCUGCUCCUGCCUUUAAUUUCCCAAAGAGUCAUCAGACGACCUUGGAGUUUGUUCUGCAAGAGGAGCCAGUAAGGCCUCGUGACUGUGGUCACCCUCGGAAGCCUUUGACAGCUAGCUGGUGAGGGCGCUCAGUCGGAGGCCCUGGGGAGGCCCCUGCUAAGCCGAGAAAAGCAUUUCUCACAGUGGAUUUCCUGGAAGUCAGGGUUGGCCUUUGUAUUUUGAAGCACAAAUAAACUUUAUAAAAUUUAA